rnacentral:misc_RNA from 1 species
GAAAUGCGAUUAGUAGUGUGAAUUGCAGAAUUCAGUGAAUCAUCGAAUCUUUGAACGCACAUUGCGCCCCUUGGUAUUCCAUGGGGCAUGCCUGUUCGAGCGUCAUUUGUACCCUCAAGCUCUGCUUGGUGUUGGGUGUUUGUCCCCGUCUCCGCGCGUGGACUCGCCCCAAAGUGAUUGGCAGCCGGCGUACUGGUCCCGGAGCGCAGCACAUGUCGCGCAAACGAGUGCCUUGGUACGGCGGCGUCCAUAAGCCCCUCUCUCACGCUCUUGACCUCGGAUCAGGUAGGGAUACCCGCUGAACUUAAGC